UGGGGAAUAUUGGACAAUGGGCGCAAGCCUGAUCCAGCCAUGCCGCGUGAGUGACGAAGGUCUUCGGAUUGUAAAGCUCUUUUUGCCAGGGACGAUAAUGACGGUACCUGGAGAAUAAGCCCCGGCUAACUUCGUGCCAGCAGCCGCGGUAAUACGAAGGGGGCUAACGUUGUUCGGAAUUACUGGGCGUAAAGCGCACGUAGGCGGAUUUGUUAGUCAGGGGUGAAAUCCCGGGGCUCAACCUCGGAACUGCCUUUGAUACUGCAAGUCUCGAGUCCGAUAGAGGUGAGUGGAAUUCCUAGUGUAGAGGUGAAAUUCGUAGAUAUUAGGAAGAACACCAGUGGCGAAGGCGGCUCACUGGAUCGGUACUGACGCUGAGGUGCGAAAGCGUGGGGAGCAAACAGGAUUAGAUACCCUAGUAGUCCCUGAGCGGGCUGGCAAGGCGCAU
rnacentral:rRNA from 1 species